GAGGUUCAUCAAAUUUCAAAUGGCAAUAGAAAAAAGGCUAUUACAUGGCUUAAGCCCGAUUCAAGGAAACAACAUAACAAUACUGAUUGUGGAUACUAUGUGAUGAAAAAUAUGUUGGAUAUUGUCUCUGCCAAUAUAACUGAAUCUUGGAUGCAGGUAUUUAAUGAUCCUACAGAAUUGACACAAGAAGAUUUGUAUGAUUUGCGACUCCGUUGGGCAAAAUGUUUCUUUGAGUUAUAUAAAGGAUAACUUUAUGUUUCUCGUGGAUGCGUGUUGGUUUUUCAAGUGCGCGAAAGUACUUUAUGUUUCUUUGAGAUAAUUAUCUUGUAGUAGAAAAUCGUGUGUAAACCUUUCUUAUCAUU